rnacentral:rRNA from 1 species
UUACCAGGGCUUGACAUCCCCUGACCGCGUAUGAAAGUACGUUUUCACCCUCGGGUGACAGGGAGACAGGUGGUGCAUGGUUGUCGUCAGCUCGUGUCGUGAGAUGUUGGGUUAAGUCCCGCAACGAGCGCAACCCCUACGUUUAGUUGCUAACAGGUGAAGCUGAGCACUCUAGACGAACUGCCGUUGACAGAACGGAGGAAGUGGGGAUGACGUCAAAUCAUCAUGCCCCUUAUGUUCUGGGCUACACACGUGCUACAAUGGCCGGUACAGACGGAGGCGAAGCCGCGAGGCGGAGCAAAUCCGAAAAAGCCGGUCUCAGUUCGGAUUGCAGGCUGCAAUUCGCCUGCAUGAAGUCGGAAUCGCUAGUAAUCGCAGGUCAGCAUACUGCGGUGAAUACGUUCCCGGGCCUU